CUUCCGUAGGGGUGACCUGCGGAAGGAUCAUUACCUAGAGUUGUAGGCUUUGCCUGCUAUCUCUUACCCAUGUCUUUUGAGUACCUUACGUUUCCUCGGUGGGUUCGCCCACCGAUUGGACAAAUUUAAACCCUUUGCAGUUGAAAUCAGCGUCUGAAAAAACUUAAUAGUUACAACUUUCAACAACGGAUCUCUUGGUUCUGGCAUCGAUGAAGAACGCAGCGAAAUGCGAUAAGUAGUGUGAAUUGCAGAAUUCAGUGAAUCAUCGAAUCUUUGAACGCACAUUGCGCCCCUUGGUAUUCCAUGGGGCAUGCCUGUUCGAGCGUCAUUUGUACCUUCAAGCUCUGCUUGGUGUUGGGUGUUUGUCUCCUGUAGACUCGCCUUAAAACAAUUGGCAGCCGGCGUAUUGAUUUCGGAGCGCAGUACAUCUCGCGCUUUGCACUCAUAACGACGACAUCCAAAAGUACAUUUUUACACUCUUGACCUCGGAUCAGGUAGGGAUACCCGCUGAACUUAAGCAUAUCAAUAAGCGGAGGAAGG
rnacentral:rRNA from 1 species